GUCUAUGGCCAUAUCACUGGAACACACUUGAUCUCAUCUGAUCUUGAAAGUUAAGCAGGGUCAGGGCUGGUUAGUACUUGGAUGGGAGAAGAGAAGAGUUCUAGCAGAGUGCAUCCU
rfam:TPA: Bos taurus chromosome 8, whole genome shotgun sequence.